AUCCUUUUUGGUUCAUAAGCAUGAUGAUUAGGUAUCCAUGCCUUUGGGAGAUGUGUGACUCCCACAAACCUGGGUAUGAAAUUGGAACAUUACCCAUCUGACA